UGAAAACUUUGAAUAUACAUUGUGCCAAAAAAGCAGUACCAGGAGCUAAAGAACAAUGCGAAAACAUGACUUUGUUGUCCUUUUUGUCUUUUUGGUUGCCGGUAAGACAAAUACAAUGCGCAGCUGCCUUCCAAUGCGUCGUCGGCAUGUCUACCGAAUCAAACAGUUUGUGAACUGCUCUGAGCCCAUUUGGACGUGCAGAACAUCCAGACGAACCUGGAUCCGCUGCCAAUAUGACCUAAGGCGUAUUGUAGACCCACUCACCGUUUUCUUCAACAGAACAUAUUUGAUGAAUGGGCAAAGGCUUAGCACUCAACUGCGAGGAGAUUUUGUUCGACGACAUCCAGACACUAUGGACGUCCGUACUUUAGGUACCACUAAUAAAUCCAUUCAUCACUAAUGUCCUUACAUCACCAGAACCAGUGGUCUACUUCCGCGAGAGUCGAAUAUUUUGCAGCCCCAAACACCUCCUGAAAUAUUUCUUGUGUGGCUCUAAUCGCAAUCAUC